CUCUUUUUCGCUCCACCUCUUGGUGCUACGUCAUGUAAUAUACACUAUAGUGGAUCGAUAUGACAAUGAAAGAGAGACUUGGAGCAAAUGUAGUUUAAUCCUGGCGUACGGACCAACUGGCGGCCGACAGAAGCAUACUAUUAAAAUACCUUUACUUGCAGUGUGACCAGAUGUGUGUCAGCAGAUUUUACUAAACCUUUGCAAAAAUUUUACUAAAUAGGCAAAA